AGGGUUCGAUUCUGGCUCAGGAUGAACGCUGGCGGCGUGCUUAACACAUGCAAGUCGAACGGGAUCCAUCGGGCUUUGCUUGGUGGUGAGAGUGGCGAACGGGUGAGUAAUGCGUGACCGACCUGCCCCAUGCACCGGAAUAGCUCCUGGAAACGGGUGGUAAUGCCGGAUGCUCCAGUUGAUCGCAUGGUCUUCUGGGAAAGCCUUUGCGGCAUGGGAUGGGGUCGCGUCCUAUCAGCUUGAUGGCGGGGUAACGGCCCACCAUGGCUUCGACGGGUAGCCGGCCUGAGAGGGCGACCGGCCACAUUGGGACUGAGAUACGGCCCAGACUCCUACGGGAGGCAGCAGUGGGGAAUAUUGCACAAUGGGCGCAAGCCUGAUGCAGCGACGCCGCGUGAGGGAUGGAGGCCUUCGGGUUGUAAACCUCUUUUGUUAGGGAGCAAGGCAUUUUGUGUUGAGUGUACCUUUCGAAUAAGCACCGGCUAACUACGUGCCAGCAGCCGCGGUAAUACGUAGGGUGCAAGCGUUAUCCGGAAUUAUUGGGCGUAAAGGGCUCGUAGGCGGUUCGUCGCGUCCGGUGUGAAAGUCCAUCGCUUAACGGUGGAUCCGCGCCGGGUACGGGCGGGCUUGAGUGCGGUAGGGGAGACUGGAAUUCCCGGUGUAACGGUGGAAUGUGUAGAUAUCGGGAAGAACACCAAUGGCGAAGGCAGGUCUCUGGGCCGUUACUGACGCUGAGGAGCGAAAGCGUGGGGAGCGAACAGGAUUAGAUACCCUGGUAGUCCACGCCGUAAACGGUGGAUGCUGGAUGUGGGGCCCGUUCCACGGGUUCCGUGUCGGAGCUAACGCGUUAAGCAUCCCGCCUGGGGAGUACGGCCGCAAGGCUAAAACUCAAAGAAAUUGACGGGGGCCCGCACAAGCGGCGGAGCAUGCGGAUUAAUUCGAUGCAACGCGAAGAACCUUACCUGGGCUUGACAUGUUCCCGACGAUCCCAGAGAUGGGUUUCCCUUCGGGGCGGGUUCACGGGUGGUGCCU
rnacentral:rRNA from 1 species